AGCAUUACUAUCUCCAAAUAAUGUUUUUUCCUCCUGGACUGGGUCACAAUUCGUCAGAUGCUCCACACAGGAACCUCUGGCACAGAUAAGUUAACAGGUUAACAUCCACACAGAGGGAAAUACAGCAUAAGCUAUAUCAAGGAAUUCCUUUCCUGGCACCUUGGCUGGAGAGCCAGAAAGAUUGCUUCUUUCUGUGGUUGAUGUGUUGAGAUAUAAAUGUACACUCAGGUAGGAGCAGCAAUAAAAGAAAUAGGAGGACCUGGAAGGCAUUUAUAUUCCUUACUUUUAGUUGUUUUCCUACAGUCCAGAUGUAUUGCUAUCUUUGGACCCUGUGAAAUGUUCCUUU
rnacentral:lncRNA from 1 species